UCUUGGGUCAUAAAAGUAGAACAUGUUUGUUGUGACAAGUCAAACAAUAAAAAGUUAUAUAAGAGCCGUUUAUGGCCCUCUUCUUAACCGACUCACAGGAAUGAAUAGGGGUGAGGAAAGGUGGCACUGAUUGGCUGUCAAUCACACUCCCGCCCUCAGCCCCACCCUCCAGGACCUAACACAGUUAAAAUUCAGUGCUUUUGUGACGGCCUCGGCGGUGCCUUUGCCUCUCUGGGCUGUAAACCCUGAGAGUACAGCGCGCUCAGCCCUGUCCGACCCACCCAAAGUGAGAACUUCUUAAAUAAGUGAGUCAGCGAGUUCCUGAAAAUCUGCCAGGCCCCUCCUCCUCCUUGCCGAAUGCCAUCUUGGCACUGUACAGAGCAGGCGUUGCCAGUUUCUCAUUUUUUUCUUUUUUCAUGUUUCUUUUGCAGUUCUGGGGACUGAAGCCAGGGCCUCUCAUGUGCCAGGCAAGCACUAUGCCAUGGAGCCACACGCCUCGCCCGAGACACUGCCAUUUCUAGCCUACCUAGGAAUGGAGGUUCUGCGGGUAGAAAACUCCCAGGGUCCGUUGGCUAGUAGGACAGAAAGCCAGGCACAUGCUGAAGCUGGAUUUCACUUUUAGUACAAAGAAAGAGUUCAGGGAAUAGAGAAGAGGAAGGGAAGGGUGUCGAGCUGAAGGAACAGCAUGUGAGGCUGUGCCCUGGAGACUGUGAGAAGAUGCAGAGGCAGGGAGACCGAGAAGCCAUGACUGUAACAUGGUGGGCCACUGAGGGACCCAGGAAAACAGGAACGCUCUGUGGAAUGCAGGAGAGGUCAUGCUGAGCAUUGAGUGACUGAAUAUGUCCAUUUCAUCAAGCUUUCCUUCCUCUUUCUAGUCUCUGAUCUCCCCACCACCAUGCCCAAGGCAUCACCAAGCCCUCAGUGUCCUCUGCUCCUGUGACUUUUCUCUGCUCAAUGUCUAAGGGGAAAUCCCAAACUAAAGUCUUGGGCUCUGCCACCUGCCACCCUCUGCCAAGCAAGCACUUUCAUGCCAGGGCUCUCCCACACGCUCCUGGGAGGGACUGAAGGUGCCCUGGACGAAGACACUCAGACCCAGCCCAGCCCAGGAUUCUGUGGCAACAGCGCCCCCUAAGGACAAGGCGAGGCAGGGGAGGCAGUCCUCCCCAAGGUCAACCUCAAGGUCAAGGAUACUCUGCUAAGAAGGCGAGCAAAGGAAAAAAGCUCAUCUUCUCUGCAAAGAAAUCCAAGUGGUGGACAAGCCUGUGAGAAGGAAAAAAUAAAUAAGCUUCACCAGGAAGCAAAGGUGUUCCAAACAAAACAAGACACUAUUUUUUACCUAUGGAAUCACCCCAAGGGUAAUAACAGCUUCGGACUUCAACUUGGUAUCACGUGUCUAAAGAAUAAGUUUGGGGGCUGGGGAUGUGGCUCAAGCCGUAGCGCGCUCGCCUGGCAUGCGUGCGGCCUGGGUUUGAUCCUCAGCACCACAUACAAAGAUGUUG